UGUAAGACCCCCGAAGCUGGGCCU
rnacentral:piRNA from 1 species